rnacentral:ncRNA from 1 species
AUAAAGACGGUGAAGAGAAAAAGUAAGAGAAUUGAUUUUAGAACAGAGAGCUUCGGUAGCUGAAAAUAGCUGAAAAGAAGUUAAAAUCAUCAUCUGAACAAUGGCCUCGGAGUUGCGGACUGAAAGUUAUUUAUUCGAGUAGGUUACGACGAGAUUUGGUACUCGUUAUCUAUACCACCUCGUUAUCUAUACCACAGUAUAAGAGUCAGUUCCAUCGACUUUCGUACUUGCUGAGGCUGUUUUACGUGAGUAAGACAGUAAAUUAAGGUGGUACCACGUGAAUUCCAACCACGUCCUUAUC